UGCGCUCAUAACAAAGCCACUGAGAGGCCUGAAAUCCCAACUACUGUAUUUGACAUGCUUUACAGAUGUUUCUACAUGCAUCAUUGUAACUUCUGUUUUUCACUAUAGGCUGUUCUUUUUGGAGUGGCACUGUUAAAGUUUCUGUUGCGUUUGUGCUUCAUCUUAUACCUGAAUGCAAGUUAUUGUAAUAUUGUCACUGAUGCCUAGCAACUGCCAAUUUCACAUUUUUAGACUUCCAGAAAGAAAACCUGAGAUAAAGCUGGCAUUCCACCUUCAUAGAGAGAUUUGAAAACCAAGAUUAGCCUAAGCACCUGGAAACCGAAGACAGAUGUAGCUAAGUUCCAUCUCCCUUAACUCUUCACCUCAUUCAUGUGUUUCUAUGUCUCAGGUGUUUUCUCUGCCCUUUCUGGUUUUGUGUAGUCGGCCAAAGGCCACCACUUCCUUGGUCCAUGCAUGGAUAUGGAUGCAAGUUGGAGGAAUUUGUGCUGGAGGUCCACUCCACUGUUGAUAGCGCCAACUCCCCUGAAACCUUUCAGGGAGAAGGGUUACUCAAGAUUCAUGGAGCCACAGGGAAGGUUAAGAAUAGGAUUGGUGAAGAGGACAGUCAGCUGGAUUGCUCUUCUCGGGAGUAACUUAAACAUCAAAUCAAACAAAAAUUCCUUAAAGUUUUGAAAGGAUGCUAUUGCUUAUGUAGUGGCCCAAACUGGCCAGGUAGGAUCAUCCUCUAAUCAGCCAGAUGGGAACAAAGAUUCAUGAAGAACAAAGGAAAAAUGGGAAAUGUUUUGCCUUGGUUAAUGGCUGUGACCAACUCGUUGAAGACCCUUUCUACAUGUUUUCCCAUGGAGACAUACCCUUCACAGUGAAGUUUACUGACAACAAACUUGCUUUUUGAAGUUACUCUCCCCUAAGCGUCACAGUCCCUGAACCACAAAAACCACUGGCGCAGAUUUUCUGUGAUCCAGUACCUCCUCUGGAGCGAUGAGACAGUGAGAUGGACCCAAGGCUGUGAUAAUUAAAACGUUUUGGGAUA